UACGAAGGGGGCAAGCGUUGUCCGGAAUCACUGGGCGUAAAGCGCACGUAGGCGGAUUGCUAAGUCAGGGGUGAAAUCCUGGAGCUCAACUCCAGAACUGCCCUUGAUACUGGCGGUCUCGAGUCCGGGAGAGGUGAGUGGAACUGCGAGUGUAGAGGUGAAAUUCGUAGAUAUUCGCAAGAACACCAGUGGCGAAGGCGGCUCACUGGCCCGGUACUGACGCUGAGGUGCGAAAGCGUGGGGAGCAAACAGG
rnacentral:rRNA from 1 species